rnacentral:rRNA from 1 species
UACGAAGGGGGCUAGCGUUGUUCGGAUUUACUGGGCGUAAAGCGCACGUAGGCGGAUUGUUAAGUCAGGGGUGAAAUCCUGGAGCUCAACUCCAGAACUGCCUUUGAUACUGGCAAUCUUGAGUCCGGAAGAGGUGAGUGGAACUCCUAGUGUAGAGGUGGAAUUCGUAGAUAUUAGGAAGAACACCAGUGGCGAAGGCGGCUC